ACUCCUACGGGAGGCAGCAGUAGGGAAUCUUGCGCAAUGGGCGAAAGCCUGACGCAGCGACACCGCGUGAGGGAUGAAGGCCUUCGGGUCGUAAACCUCUUUCGGCAGGGACGAAGCGAUAGUGACGGUACCUGCAGAAGAAGCCUCGGCUAACUACGUGCCAGCAGCCGCGGUAAGACGUAGGAGGCGAGCGUUGUCCGGAUUCAUUGGGCGUAAAGAGCGCGUAGGCGGCUUGGUAAGUCGGAUGUGAAAACCCGAGGCUCAACCUCGGGCGUGCAUCCGAUACUGCCCGGCUAGAGGUAGGUAGGGGAGAUCGGAAUUCCUGGUGUAGCGGUGAAAUGCGUAGAGAUC
rnacentral:rRNA from 1 species